UACGAAGGUGGCAAGCGUUGUUCGGAUUUACUGGGCGUACAGGGAGCGUAGGCGGUUGGAUAAGCCCUCCGUGAAAUCUCCAGGCUUAACCUGGAAAGUGCAGAGGGGACUGUUCAGCUAGAGGAUGGGAGAGGAGCGCGGAAUUCCCGGUGUAGCGGUGAAAUGCGUAGAGAUCGGGAGGAAGGCCGGUGGCGAAGGCGGCGUUCAGGACUGUCUCUGACACUGAAGAACGAAAGCCAGGGGAGCAAACGGG
rnacentral:rRNA from 1 species